rnacentral:RNase_P_RNA from 1 species
UUGAUGUAUCAGGUGACCGGGCUGUAUAUAUGUAUACGGUCAGGAAAGUCCGAACACCGUCUCGAUAUUUCGAACUAUCGAUAUGUCGAGUCAGCGAUAGCGGUUAACGGCCGCCCCCUGUUAUUGUGGACGGGCCGCUCACGUUGUGAGCGAGCCUCGUCCCGCAAUAGCGGGGCGGGAUAGUGUCACAGAGACAAUACUGCCGAUCGUCGCUAUGAGAACUCUAAAAGUUUGAAGAACGGAGGCCGCUCACGUUGUGAGCGAGCCUCGCCCCGCAAAUGGCGGGGCGGGAGGCAAUAGGUGAAAAGAGUGAGGUAAGAGCUCACAGUCGUCAUGGGCAACCAUGACGGGAGAAAAACUCCUAUCCGGUGCAACCUCACUAUCGCAUCAAUACUAUUGUUGCGAUUAUACGGGGGCAUGAGUUCAUGAGCAAUCAUGGACCAAGAGAGAUGGUCACCCUCGGCAACACUCCAAAAGUAUGCCGGGACAGAAUUCGGCUUAUCGAUACAUCAAAGGC